UACGGAGGGUGCAAGCGUUAUCCGGAUUCACUGGGUUUAAAGGGUGCGUAGGUGGGUUGGUAAGUCAGUGGUGAAAUCUCCGAGCUUAACUCGGAAACUGCCAUUGAUACUAUCAAUCUUGAAUUUUCUGGAGGUAAGCGGAAUAUGUCAUGUAGCGGUGAAAUGCUUAGAUAUGACAUAGAACACCAAUUGCGAAGGCAGCUUGCUACAGGGAUAUUGACACUGAGGCACGAAAGCGUGGGGAUCAAACAGG
rnacentral:rRNA from 1 species